AAUUCACAAUGACAUUCUCUGAAAAAAAUGACAGUGAGACAUUUGAGAUGUCGUUCACUGUAGUAAUCUAUUUUCAUUGGUUUUUCUUGUGCGUUUAUGUGACGUUAAUUGCCUAAAUAUUGAUCAAAUAAGCGUGAUACUCAUAGAAUAUUUCACUGAAAACAUUGAAACCGAUGGUUACCUUUCGAAUGAGUUUCAUUCAAAAAUAUUUUACGGAAUACCGACAAGAUUCACCGCUAAUGCUUAGUUUAUACCCGACAAGUGUCCCGAAGGUUUCAUGCUGAUCCAAAGGAAAAGUAAAAAAAUCGGACAGAACGCUGAUCGCAAAGACGCCGGUAAUUUUUGCUGUAAGUUUCAUACAAAAUUUUAGUACAAUUUCAGUUUACUUGAAAUUUUGUACUGAAAUGAAUUGAAAAUUAACGACAUUUUGAGAUCGUGAACAUUCUAUAAAAUGCUGAAAGUUAUAGUUCUUCUGCUGUAACUAUUGUUUUCCGAUCUAUUCCUUAAUCAAUUCUGUCAUAAUAUAAGGAGGACAUCAAUCUGUUUAUUGCAAAAAAGACAAAAAAAAACUUGGGGGUCGUGUUGUUUACUGCAUUUGAAAUACCACGGUCACUUUAUAUGCAACAAUUGUGUCAUCCUUUUUCUUAAAAAAGGAAAAAGACAAAACAUAAAACGAGGAAGAAUUUCUUUUUGUAAUGAACACUCGCAAAUCUUCCAUUCAAGACAAGUAGGAAUUUUUAAUAAGCUUUUCAAGUGCAUCAACUAGAGGUGGGCGGGCUCCGUUCCGAAAUUUGAUUCGACAAGGAUAAAUUCAAUAAAAAACGAGCAGCGAAAAGCUCAAAACAUUCAUAGAAAAUAAACUCGGUAUUUGAUAACGUAGGGGUGGUCAGAUUCGGGACACAUCGGACAUCGACCUCAGCAUAAAAACUGAGAACAUUUGACAAACUCAAACUAAAACUUCAUUCAAAAUAUGACUAGGAUUUUCUUAUUGGGUUUCUCCGCACAACUCUACGAUCAACAUACACAAUUCUUCAUCAGGAAUUCACGACAUUUUCAUUGAAUGACAAAGAUAAAUUGUAUAUGGAAAAAAUGGGAAGACAUCGAUGUGCGUUUAGGACGAUUAUAAUUGAGUGUAACACUUAAAAUUGUACAUUAUAAACACGUAGAUUGUAAUCGUCCUAGUCUUUCGGCCUUUUACGUUUUGUUCCUUGUAGACUUAGUUUGUUAAUCGAAAAACAAAUGAAGAUUUAAUCUAAUUCAAUCCAAAGACUCAGAUAAAGAAAACACAAACAGGGAAAUAUUUAUGUAAUAGUCACUCAUGUCGAGCUCGUUGCUCGAUGCAUUUCCAGUACCAAUCUUUUUUAAUCGUUUCCGUGUCGACUAUUUUCCAUUACAUUCUUUUUUAUAGAACAAAGACUCAAACUAUGAGUGGAACGAAGAUAACUGACUGUAACUAGCAUAUGACAAAAAUUCUAAGAAGUGGCAACUUGCGUUCUUGUUUGAUGUUGUGUAGUCCGAACGAAGAGAGGCAAAAUAGGUCUAAAGUUCUAGAUCUAUAUACGGUGCGCGAGUAAAACGUAUUUUUAAUACUUUUUGCAUUAGGCAACUUUGGUGUGUGAUUCCACCACACACGUCAAGAAAUAUUUUUGCAUAUCUCGCUAAAUAACUAUUUCCCGUACGUCCUAGUGUGUUAUCGAUGUUCCUGAUAGUUAAGUGUGUAUCAACAUUUCCUCAACUUAUCGAAUGGGUCGAAUUAAUAUGAGGACUACAGUAAUUUUCUUAAAUGCAUUUACUGUUGCAUUUAAAUCUUAUCGCUAAUACAGUAGUACAGGUUUUUGAGGAAAGCGAUUAUAAUUUUCAGACCUGAAGAAAGGCUGGUUGUACAGAAAGUUCCGAUAUGAAUGAAAUAAAUGAACAUUCGCUGAACUUUGUCAAUAUCCGUUGUCUAGACCUUCAGAUUUGAGAGUAUUUCGCAAUAAAACAAGAAAACGUUAAGUUCCGCAACAACAACAAACUUUUUAUGUAGAUAUUUUAUAGGAAAACUGAGUGCACAAUUUUAUUUUCUUAUUUUUAUUUUCAUUUUCUUUCAUUCGGAUUUUUUUUAAACUUGGUAAUGUAAUAACAUCUGAGAUGAAGUAAAUUGCUUAUAAUCGCCAUAUUCAGAAUAAAAAGGUUAUUCCCCAUAAUGAAAAUGAAAACGUGAAACCGGCAAUUUAAAAUUGUAAAUCGUCAAGAUCGCAAGAUUUAUAGGGAAAUAAGAAUCACUGUUUAAUGGUCAUUCUAUGACAAAUUCUUAAACAAUCAUAAUUACGAAACCCUUUCGGAUGCAAUCGUAAGACCGGAUGUAUUUACCGCCUAAAUCAUUUGCAUUUUUUGCAGUUUAAGGCAGAGUAUUUUCAACAGAUUGAUUUGAGUUCUAGAUCGCAUUAGUCAGCGUUCUUCGCUUAUCUCUCCUGCUGAGAUAGCAGUCUGAUCAGAGAAAUUAAUGAGAUUAAGGUAAAAAAAAUUACUAUUCCAUCUAUUAUUGGACCAUGAUUUUCUUUCCACAUUUCAGACCUGUGAGGACAAAUCCUCUAACUCUUUAGUUUAGUUAGUUAGCAUUGUGGAAUUUCGCAAACAAAAAACAUUUUUCAGAACUAGUUCACCAGUUGUCUAGUCCGAAAAAAAUCUUUUUUUUUUCCUGUUCCAUGAUGAGUUUGAGACAUAUAUUCUGUUGCUUACAGUGCCUCCAAAUCUAUAAUAUGGUUAUUGUAUUACAAGUGAGACAGGCAUCUGUUAUGGAACGAACAUUCAAAAUGAUGUCUCACUUGUAAUAUAAAACAUAAAAGCGCGUUUGUCCUUUCCGUUUUCGCCAAGCGAUGCAAAUUGUUUUAUUUUUUGAAUUAUUUGCAUAAUUUGAAUGAUUUUUUUCUUAGUUAAAACAAAACCUUCAGAUGAAACUAUUAAUGUUAAUGUAAACAACAAAGCACAAUGAAAAAUACUCUUUAUCAAUAAACAAAACAAAAAACAAAACAAAA